GGCGAUGUGCGGCGUGCCUAUACAUGCAGUCGAACGAACUCUGGUAUUGAUUGGUGCUUGCAUCAUGAUUUACAUUUGAGUGAGUGGCGAACUGGUGAGUAACACGUGGGAAACCUGCCCAGAAGCGGGGGAUAACACCUGGAAACAGAUGCUAAUACCGCAUAACAACUUGGACCGCAUGGUCCGAGCUUGAAAGAUGGCUUCGGCUAUCACUUUUGGAUGGUCCCGCGGCGUAUUAGCUAGAUGGUGGGGUAACGGCUCACCAUGGCAAUGAUACGUAGCCGACCUGAGAGGGUAAUCGGCCACAUUGGGACUGAGACACGGCCCAAACUCCUACGGGAGGCAGCAGUAGGGAAUCUUCCACAAUGGACGAAAGUCUGAUGGAGCAACGCCGCGUGAGUGAAGAAGGGUUUCGGCUCGUAAAACUCUGUUGUUAAAGAAGAACAUAUCUGAGAGUAACUGUUCAGGUAUUGACGGUAUUUAACCAGAAAGCCACGGCUAACUACGUGCCAGCAGCCGCGGUAAUACGUAGGUGGCAAGCGUUGUCCGGAUUUAUUGGGCGUAAAGCGAGCGCAGGCGGUUUUUUAAGUCUGAUGUGAAAGCCUUCGGCUCAACCGAAGAAGUGCAUCGGAAACUGGGAAACUUGAGUGCAGAAGAGGACAGUGGAACUCCAUGUGUAGCGGUGAAAUGCGUAGAUAUAUGGAAGAACACCAGUGGCGAAGGCGGCUGUCUGGUCUGUAACUGACGCUGAGGCUCGAAAGUAUGGGUAGCAGACAGGAUUAGAUACCCUGGUAGUCCAUACCGUAAACGAUGAAUGCUAAGUGUUCGGUGGGGUGUCCGCCCUUUCCCUGCUUUUAGCUAACGCCUUUAUGCCUUUCCGCCCUGCGGGGGUUCGGCCCCCAAGGCUUAAAACCCCCACC
rnacentral:rRNA from 2 species